UAGUGAUGCUCUAUCAACCUUUCAAAUACCAAAAUAAUUCCCAUGUUUUGCAUGUGUUUUUUUUAUCAACGACUUAAUAUAAUAAUAUAUUUACCGAAGCGUGGCAAUAAAUUUUCUGGCUAUGGCUACAUCAUCAUCAUUUCCCAAUCGAAGUACUUUAGGGAGAAUCUAUCAACUAAAUAAAGUCGAUAAUGGGACCCAGGUGGUCGCAAGGCAACGGUGAAUAUUAGUCAUUGCCGUUGGAUGAAUGCGGGACCCAAUUGGGGCUUAAUAGACGUAGAUCAUUCAAACACCGGACCCCGCGCACGCUGACAUUUCUGCAAAGCAAUAGCACGUGUCCAUGUGUGAUAUGUUGCCAGUGAAAAAAAAUGAAAGGCGGGGAGACAGUCGGCAUCUCAUAUAACUGGCAAAGGGCUUAUGUGUCGACAUCCUGGUGGUGGGUUACGUAUACGAUGUCGUUGAUGUAUAAAUUUCCGAAACUUGCCAAGCUGGUAAUCCUUUCCUACCACUGAAGUGACAGGAAUCGUGCUGACACGUGAUGUGUUGUACACGUAAAGAUAUAAGACACCUUUUUAAUCCGGAUUGUACAACUGUUACAAUUAAGGGCGAAAAUGCUACUAAUCAAAGUUAAAUUUAAUAAGAGUAAUAAUAUAAUCAUAAAUUUUUAUACAAUUCUUUUUUAUAAACUGAUGUGUUAUUAUUGAAUUAUUUGGAUUAAAUAUAUGUCGAUUCACAUGAUUUUUUUUUUAUUUUAUAUUUUUAUUCAAUCAAUAAACUAAUGUCAAAUGAGUUUGUACAAAAAUUUAUGAUUGUAUCAUUAUUAAUUUAAUAAUAAGUGAUUAUUUGUAUGAAUUAACUCAGCCAGUGGCUAUGAUGAAACUGCUCUGCCAUAGAACAAUGAUGAUAUCUGUUAGAUAAGAGUAUUAAUUACAAAUUUAAUAUUCAUUUUGAUGAUUGUACGAUCAUCAACAAUACUCUAUAGUAGAAUGGUUCUAACAUAGUCAGACCCUUUAAUUAAAUUCAAAACAUCUAACAUCACAAAUUGUGCAGUAUGUUUUAUCACAAGCAAUUAUUAUCUAUCUCCUCAUAAAUGUUUUAAUGAAUCACGACGUACUUCAAUUUGUAUAUAUUUUAAAGAGAAAUUAACAAUGAAAGAGGGACACAGAUCAAUCAAGAAGAAAAUGAGUAGGAAUAAUUUGUUUUCAAAUAAAAUGUUAAAAAAGAAAAAAAGUUCCAUACUAAAGACAACAAUUAAUUGAUUUUCCUUUGUGCCUAUACUCUUUUGUGGUAGCCUAAGAAAAGCACAUGAGAUUGGAUUAUACUAAUUAUCUGGAUUAGAUUAGAUUGCAUUAAGCUUGAUUAUAGUAUUUUGUCUUAUGUCUAGUAUAACAUUGCUUUGAAUUGUAUUGAAUUAUAUUUA
rnacentral:lncRNA from 1 species